CAUAUGCCACAGGUGUGGCCCUAAAAAACAAACAAACAAAAAAUAGGAAGCAUACGUUUAAUUGUUGGAUUUUUAAAAAGAGUUGUAGGGGUGGACUAUAAAAACUUAAGAACAUAGCUUUUAUUGUUGCCAAGGAAAUUUGGGAGUUAAUAAAACUAGAAAUACUAGUAAUGUCAGUACUGAAAUAAGGAAAUAAAUUUCUAUAUGUUGUGGAAAUAAGUGUUAGAAGGUCUAUGUGGCAUAAACUUAAAGGAAAGUGAAAUUUGAUUUAAUUAAUUCAUUAUUUUGCUCAGCCAUUAAAUAAAUGUUGCAUGAAUUCCUACCAUGUGUAAGUCUUGUGCUGGGCCUUGAAGAAAGAACAAAGAUGAAUAAAACAUGUCUCUUGCCUGGGGGCACUCACGGUCAUGGUCUAGUGAACGAUAAUAAAAAUCUAAGUACACGGAGAGAAGGAUUUGUGUGAUCAAUGUGUUGGGAAUUAAAGUCUGGUAGGCCAUCUAUCCACAAUGGUUGAUUUAUCGAUUUUUACCUUAUCUUAUUCCAGAAAGAAUGUUUUAGGAAUGAGAUCGACACAAUGAAACAAAUAUGAAAUCUGAGGUGUUAAGGAAGAGAAAAAAGAAAAAUUACUCUUACAAAGAUGGCGAUAAAUAUGCAUCUCUCUUUCCAAAGGAUAAACUACAACCCCACCAAGUUUGAAAUAGGGAUAAAAGAAGAAAACACUGAGAAAGGAAAAGAUGAUGAGUAGAAUGUUGACUGCUUUCAAAUUGAAAGAAUGGAAUGAAAUGCAUAUAUUUCAAAUGUUGUUAAAGUUACUUGCUAAGGCUUUGAAAAAUUAAAUAGCAUCUCUCAGUAUGAGAUGAUAUCCAUAAAUGUGCUUUAAGCACUUCAAGAAGAAAAUAUGUGACACUUACUCUUUGCUAUUUUUUACUUCGUUAUUUAUCUUUUUUAAAUCAUUUUGCUUAUUAUUAUCAAAUCUCCAUGACAUUAAAAAUGAAAAAUAAAGAGAUGAAAAGUUUAAAUCAUCAUAUUUUCUUUACAGCUUCAAUAGGGAUUUGAUGAAAAUUUUAUAUUUUGGCAACAUCUUGGCUCUUGAACUUACUCCCAGACCAGCUACAAAUUUGUCCUAUGGCCUAAGGCAUUGAAACACAGCAGAGCCUUGCAAUAAUUUUUUGUCAGAUCAGACAACCCAAUUAUUCCAUUUUCCCAGGUGUCCCAGUGACAUAUAUUAUUGUCAACAACAGAGUUGCUUCAGCUUUAAGUUUAAAGUAUCUGCUGGGUGUGCAGACUCAGGUAUGCCUUUUACCAUCUAGCUGAAAAGGUACAGUGCACUUUAGAGUGGUGGAGUUUGCUCUCAUUCAUGCAUCCAUCCUUACAUUGUCUGUUUUGUCCUUAGUGAAAAAGAAAGAAUGCCACCUACUGGAUGUGGGUGUAGGAAGAGCAUAUUGACAUAAAAAUGUACUAUCUUUGAAGUAACAUAUUACUUUGAAACAAUUGUGUAAGAAAAAAAUCCCAAAGACCGUCUUAUUACACUAGCAAUAAUUACAUACAUUUGCUUAACUGAUUUUAUUCUGUCGACACUGAAUAGAAAUUAUUUUAGAAUUUCCAUCUAAAUAUUAAGAAAUAAAGAGUCUCUCUGUUGUCUUAUAUUUUAUUUUCUAAAAGAAUUUUUUUUUUCUUAGAGCAGUUUUAAGGUUCAUUGCAAAAUUAAGAGGAGGGCAGAGAGAUUUCUCAUAUAAUCUGCCUCUACACAUGCAUAGCCUCCCCCAUUAUCAGCAUCAUUCGCUGGAGUGGUGCAUUUGUUACAAGUGAUGAACCAACAUUUACCAAUUACAAUAAACUGAAGUCCACAGUUUACAUUAUGGUUCACUCCAUUCCAUGGUUUUGGACAAAUGUAUCAUCCCAUGUAUCCAUAAUUAUAAUACACAGAGUGUUUUUUACUGCCCUUAAAUUACUCUGUGCUCUGCCUCUUCAUGCCAUUCUCCCUCCCUUGUGGCAACCACUAAUCUUUUUAUUGUCUCCAUAUUUUGCCUUUUUCCAAAAUGUAAUUGGGAAGAUAGAGCAUGUAGCCUUUUCAGAUUAGCUUCUUUCACACUUAGUAAUAUUUAAGUUUGUUUCAUGUCUUUUCAUCACUCCAUAGCUCCUUUCAUUUUAGCACUGUACAAAAUCCCAUUGUCUGGAUGUGCAAGUUUAUUCAUUUACCUGAAAGAUAUCUUGGUUGCUUCCAAUUUUUGGCAAUUAUGAACAAAUGCCAUGAACAUCUGUGUGCAUUUUUUUGUGUAGAUAUAAUUUUCAACUCGUGGGAGUAAAUAUCAAGGAGCCUGAUUGCUGGAUUAUAUGGUGGAAGAGAGUGGCUGGUGUUGGGUAUUUCCUUUUCCACAGAAGCAUGAGGAGGUUUUCUCCAGUAUACAUACGUGGAAAUCUGGUUGAACUCCUGGAGGUAAAUCUUCCCAAAUCGUAAGUUCUCCCCUGUGAGUGAGUUGCCCUAGAAUUUCUAGCUUUCAGUGUUGUCCAUAUUGAGCCUUCAUCAAUUCAUCCAUCACUGUUCUGAUUUUCCUACCCUGUGUUUCCUGUGUUUGAUUUAGCUCAUGAAUAUCUGCUCUGGUGAGUUAUUUUCUGUAUUUAUUGGGGGAAUUUCUAAACUUGGGGGCAGCAAUUUUCCCUGUAGCCUCACCUCUUUUAAGGAUCCUAGAAGAGUUGUUGAUUUUUCAGUAUAUUCAGCUUUUUACUUGCUGUUAAGGUAGAGUGGCAGCUUACAAGAGCCUUACAUGUGGAACGGUGAACUGGGAGUCUGGUUUGUACAUUUUAAAACUUAUUGCCUUUUACCAAAUAAUAUAUAUCUUCUUGUGUUUUCUAUGUAAAAAAGAUUAAUUUUCUUGACAAUGUAAUCCUAUUACAUGGAAAACUCAGAUUAUAUAAAGACUGAAAACCCCUAAAACCUGGAUCCUAGUAACUAAAUGUGAUCAAUGUUGAGGAAGAGAAAGCAGCUCUCCUGGUCAAUGAUUUUCAUCAGUAUGAGGUCAUCAUUUUAGGUUUAACUUGUUGUAUUGUAUUCUUUUUAAGUCUCUAUUAUUUACUCCAUAGAAAACUAAUUAUCUUUAUAAAAAUACCCAUUAGUCCUCUUUGCUUUCAGAUGCUCUAAUAUUUAUGCCUCUUGGGUCUUUAUACCCAGACACCUUGGAAUACCACCUUCUCAUCGAAUAUAAACUCUAGGUUUUAUAAGUAUAGCACGCUUUCCCCAGAAGUCAGAUUCAUGCCUUAAUCUACCAUGAAAUUUAUGUUAUCAUAAAUCCCCGUUUUUACUAUUUGUGUUAAAAUAAGAGCUUGUAAGUUCUUGAGUUCUAGAGUUUCAUAAUCUUUUAUUUAGGGUUUACUCAUUUAACAAAUACUGUGUGUAUUUUAUGCCAGGUGUUAAGAACCAAUUAUCAACACACAAAAUGAUCUGCUAUAAUGGAAUUCAUAGUUUAGUGGAGAAUUUUCAGCACAUUGUUCAGUUAUUACCACAACAUAUAGUAUAAUAAUAUGCUAUAUAUCCAUAAUCUGGAAGUUACAUUUACGAAGAUCAGACUUGUGGUAUAUUUUUCAAAUUGGCUCAUUCAGUAUCCAUUGAUAGCUCCUUUUAUACUUCUUUUUUUUAGUAUAUAGUCUGCAAAGGUAAAAUCUGCAUUUUUUUCAUAUUUCUUAGAUGUGAGGUUUCCUUGGAGAAGCCAAGUGAUACUAGAAAGAAAAGUGGAGAAAUCAUAGCUGUGGCUGUUGUGAUACUGGGUCUAGUGUAUGAUCUCUAGCAACAAGGAACUGAGCAGUGAACAUUGGUUGUAGUAAGCUUUCCCUUGAGACAUUCCUGUGAUGUGGGUGUACAUUUCUCCAAGGAAGAUUCCUUUUCCUUGGCUUUGUAGCAACCAAGCUUGGUUUCCUGGCCCUUUUAGAAAUUCUUUAAUGUAUCUUAAUACUUUGAAAUAAUUCCUUUUCUCAUUAACCCAGCUAAAGGAGACUCUGUUAUUUAGAACAAGGACCAUCUCAGUAGAGUAUGCUUUCUAAGUCUCCAUUAAAGAUCUUUCUACAGGAACUUAGAUAUUGAAUGAUCUUAAAUCUGAUUUCAUAUGUUAAUUUAUGGGCUUGUGGUACCCAUAACCCCUGGUUGAAUAAACUUGCAGUCUUCACCAAUCUGAGCUGAGAGCCCGAAAUUUGAUUUCUGGUGGGACUUGUUGUUGUUACUUUUACGUUUUUUUAAAACUUGGACUCAAGACUCCAGACCAAUGGCAAACUUUCUUCAAGCAUAAAUAUUUCCUAUCCCUGUUAUACAGACUAUAAAGGCUUUUCAGACUCUGGAAUUUAUGAAGCUUCUCUGCCAAAUACUGGAUUUAAAAUCCUAGCCCUUGCUCUUAAGACCUUAUAUCAAGCUCUGAACUCUUAAGGGUUGCUCAUUUAUCAUUAUUCCUUUUUUUUUCUUUGUUCAUGUGACAUUUACUUUAUUUUGAAUUCAUAGCACCUGUGGUAUUUUAUUUUGAGCUCAUAAAGUGUUGAAAUUUUAUUUUUUUUUAAUUUUGUGUCUUAUAGUUAGUAAUGUCAGUCAAUGUCUAUUUAUUCCUCCAUAUUGCUGUAAGUCUGUGUUUUAAAAUGUCUAUCAAUAAUUAAAAAUUUUAGAGUGUAUCCUUAUUAGAUUGUAACAUUUAUGAUGAUUUCCUACAAAAGGGCAGGGGUUGGUAUGUAGUCCUGGGGAAAGAAAAAGAUAUUUAAAGGGGAAGAAAUCUUUGUGCAUUGCCAGCACUAUCUAAGGUAGGAGCUAUUUUGUUUUGGAGCAUUAGAACUAAUUAUCUAGAACUAUACUAUUGAAGGCAGUGGCUAUUAGCCGAAUGUGGCUAAUAAAUUUGUUACAUUAUAUAAAUUUCAUAAUUCAGUUCCUCAGUUACAUUAGCUACAAUUCAGGUGCUCUAUGGCCACAUGUACUAAUCGGUACUGUGCUGGACACCUACUGUGUAUCAGACACUGUUGUAGUCCUUGGCAUUACGUGAGAACAUAGCCCCUAUCCUAAGGAGUUAUGCUGUAGUCAGAGAAAAGAGAGAAUACACAUGUGUCAUAGCAAUAAAUAAAUAAAUAAAUAAAAAUUAAAGAACAAAAAAGAACACUUUAGGUAUUGCUCUGUAAUGACAAAGAUAAGAUAAUAUUCUAGUGACUAGAGGGCUGCUACAUAGGUAGAUUGAUAAGUGAAGGCUCUUUGAAUUUGCAGAUGAAUGUUAACAUUGUGAUAAAAUGCAAAGCUCUUGAAGAGUGUAUGAAACAGAUAGAACAAUAAGCAUAGGAUCUCUAGAUAGAAGAAACUUGACAAGUUUAAGGUACAGGCACAAAGACCAGUGUGACUGGAGAUGAGUGAAAGGGAUCAAGAGUAGAGGGGCGAUGACAUUAGAGAAGCUGGUCCAAGAGUUUGUGUGUUCUGUUGGUUUCAGUAAGAAGCUAUUGAAUUUUAAACAGAGUAGCAGCAUGACCUCAUAUAUACUUACAAAAAAUAAUGAAUAAGUUGAGAGACAGAAGGACUAACUUUAUAAAAGCUGACUCUUCAACUGAGUUUUGAAAACAUUUCUGCUGCUUCAUCAUCAUUUAUUACAUUGCUCUUUUCCACAAUAUGAGGGAAGGAAGUUCUGCCUUGUAGUCUUUAGUCAUAACUAUUUUUUCCAGGCCACUUGGUGGACUUUGUUUGGGCAGGGAUCUUGGUGUCUGGAGAGGAUAGACUGGGGGACUGGGAUGGUGAAUUAAGAGUGGAUGAGUAGGUUGCACUUAAUAGGGAAUAAGUUAGGCAUGCCAAUUUAGCUAAAGUGAAAAAGAAAAGAAAAAUUAUCACGUGUAAAAUUUCCUUCAAUAAAUGAAAUGUGCUCAACUGAUUUCUCAUCCCAUCUCACUAAUAUUAUCAAAACUAAAGGUUGAUAUCUUCUUUUAAGGACAUUGAUUAGCUACCUGCCUAUGACUUUUUUGAAGCGCCAUCAAUGCAAAUCUAGUGGGGCAGAAAGAUACAAGUUCAAAGCACCAGAGGAUAAUAUUUUCAACUGUGUCUGCAUUGUUUAAUGAGACAAUGAAUUCAGUGGACUUCAAAUGUGUCAUGUCUUGUAAAUCACUGGGUUAUUAACUUUAACAGGGUGAGUGGAUGUACUGUUCCCAUCUCCAUUUCACAGCAUUAGUACUCUAGAUAAUAGGGAACGUGGGGUAAUAAUCCUUACAUUAUUGGCUUAUACUUGUAGAGUGACCCUUUUAAAUAUGAGGGAUUUGGAAGUAAAGUGCAUUUCUUUGCAUGAGAAAAAGAGGAAAAAUAUGAAAAUUUAGAUUUAAAAAACCUAAAUUUUAAUUUUCUCUUUAUUUUUAGACAUGAUGUGAAUUGGAUGGCAAAUUAAAAUUUGCGUUUAUGGGCACAAGUUCUUAUUCAAUUUUGCUUAUUUUGCUAAUCUUUGGUAGUUUUAUGGGUUUUAAUUUCAGUGUAAUAGCAAGAAAAACAGUGCAAUUGCUGUGCUCUAUGAUUUACAAUGUGCAUUUAAGCUAUUUCUUGGUGGAAUUGCCACGAAGUUAUAUGUUCUCUAAUAUUGCUCUAGUGGUCGCAAAGAGUUAAUGUAUCCUAAUGCCUUAGUGAUUAGUGUCCAUUUGCUUGGGUAAUUUGUUUCUACACAGGUCAGUAUAUUUCAAAAUUAUUUCACAUUGAUAAUAGCUUGGCUGGUUUGGGGUAUGACCAGAUUUUGCAUUUCAGGGACUCAUUGAUGUAUCAAGAGGCUGCAACUGUCAUAAUUAAGAAGAAAAGACAUUUAAGCCACCAUAGGCACAAGAUACUGCUGUGAUAAAUUGAACCUACAAAAUGAAGUGAAUGGCCAUUAUGCAUAUGCAAUCUUGUUUUACUUAGUUUCUCUUCAUUGGUUGGGCAUGAAUCUAGCCUUAGGCACCAGGCUGAGGAAGCAUUAGUACUCAAUUGCCAAAUGGCCUAGGUUUAAGAUUCCCAUCCACUCAUAGAUUGGUUUGUGAGCUUUAUCAAGCAGGACGGUAUGAAUAGGUAAGGAAACACUUUUGCCUUUUCUCUUGACUAAAUUAAUUACAUCUUAAUGACAAAGUUUCUGCUUAUGAGUCACAGUUGUCAUUGAGCUGUUCUGCUAGUUAAAAUCAUGUGAAUUUUCUGCCUAUCAUCUUAAAAAACGGUAAUUUCUAUACCAUUAUUGGAAUCAGAAAGAAAAGGAAUGUAAAAUAAAACAGAUGAAGAUUAAUAUGAUAGUUUCUCAAUUUUUGUGGAAUGAACCAAUCUUGGUAACUUUGUGCUAUGAGUUCUUACUUGUCUAUGCUAAUUGGAAUGAGAAGGGAAAGAAAAGCUCCCUGCCCUUUUGUUCCUCCUGGAUUUAAAAUCACCGAACAGAUGCCGUGAUAUAAACCUGCAUUUAAGUCCCUUAUAUUUUUCUUUAUAGACACAAUUGUGAAUUGUGUUCUUCCUGCAUUUGUAAUUAGAAGGUGAAACAGAUGGCAAAGGAUCAGUGUAAAGAGAUGUCCAUUAAAAUAACUUAUGUUGCCAAGUGAUUGUUCACUUUAAGUGGGGAACUCAAUUUCCACCAUGCAAAAGAAAAAAGUGGCACAUGCACAUCUUGAAGGAACUCCGUUAUGUGGGGCAAAUAACACAGGAGCUGGACUAUACUUUGAAAAUACUAAAAAUAUAGACAUAUAAACAACUACCUUUUUAAAAAAACAAAUAAGCAUUGUUGGAGAUGAGAAUUGAGGUCAGUUGGAAGCCCUUCAAGGUACAAUUUAAUGUACUAAUCUUAUCUUCUCCUAAGCCUGCUGUAGAUAUACAGGAAAUGUGUGGUAUAUUUUUUUCUCUCCGAAAUUUUAGCCAUUAAUAUAGAAGCAAAUGUAGCAUUACUAGGAGUGAUUUGAGAUACAUCCCUCUGUGUAUUAAAUAUAUAUUUAGGAAGGAACCAUAGUUAAGACGUUUUCAGCUCUCACAUGAAGUAGCACAACAUAGUGGUUAAGAAUGAGGAUUCUGGAGUUAGCUCCUCAGGGUUUGAAUUGUAUCUGCCAUUUACCCUUUCAGUGAUGUUGGGGAAAUUCUCUAACAAUUUCGUGCUUCAAUUCCUUAGUGUGUCAAGUUGGAAUAACUAAAAAUGCUAAUCUCAAUGGUUUGUUGUGCCCAACAAAUGUAUUGAAAUUUUAUUAUUAAAUAAAUAACACCUUCAUGACCAGAAUUUAAUGUAACAUCAUCUAAAUAUUUUAUUUUUAAUCUUUUCUUUUUUACAAAAAACCUUUAAUAAACCAUUUGUUUCCAAAAAGAAGGAAACUACAGUUUUUCUGCCCAAAAAAGUGGACUUUUUAAAAUUUUAAAAUUUAAUUUAUUUGCCUACAAUUUAAGACAGAUCUGUACAUAACUGUAAGUCUCGAGUUCUAAGCUUGGAAAAAUUCCUUGUCUGGUGCUUGUGUUUUUGACAGCUUUUCCUGUCCACUCAGAGCUGAAGAAUUUAAUAUAUAAAACUGUUAUCAACAUGAAACGUACACAGUGAUGUACUCGCAUGAAGGAAACUAUGCAGCUAUUAGCUCAGUAUGUGAGAAUUUUCAAUUUGAGUGACAUAAAUCUGUAUGUUUCCCUAUCUACCAAUAUAAACGUAUUUUUUAUGCCUUUAUGUUGGCAUGGUUCUGGGCACUGCAUUUUUAAGAUUGACUCAGAUUCUGCUCACAGGGAGCUUGUUUUUACAGGAUGGACACCUUUGUCUUUUCAGCCCUGUUCUUUCUGCACAGGAAAGGAGAAAAAAAUAGCUAAAGACCUCUUGGGCCAUCUGUGAGAUUAGUAGAACCUGUAAAUCCUAGGUUUACUCAAUCUCUAGAACUGCAACCAAAAUUUGAAUAUUGUGUCAGCUUCAUGUGUAACCUUGGUUGCCUUCACUUUGAAAGUAAGAUUGCAGCUCUUUAUCAUAGAGUUGUUAGGAAGAGUACUUGCAUUGGUCUAGUGUAGUUUCUAGAAAAUAUUUGAUAGUCAAUAAACAAAUUGAAUUACUCCCCCCCUCUUUUUUAAGAUCCCACCUCAAAUAACUUCAGUGCACUCUAUUCAAGAUACUAUUUGAAGUCUAAUGCCAAAGCUGUGUACUUCUUUAUGUUAAUAUUUGGUAAUAGAUGUUCCAAAUCCCAAAGAUUUAUAUCUAGACAUAAGGGCAUAAACUGAUAUAUUAAACAUCAAUAGCAAAAUAGGAAUAAUAAUAGCUACCAUUUACAUAGCACUUCUGGUGUGCCAGGCAAUGCUGUCCUAAGCACUGUCCAUAUGUUCACUCACUUAAUCCUCACAACAGUCCUAUGAAGUUGUUGUUAUUAUUUUUCCUCAGGCUCAGGGAGAUUAAAACCUUCCCAAGGUCACACAGUUAGUAUUGAUGAAGUUGGAAUUUAAACUUAGCAGUUAGCAUUUGCAUUGAUGCACUCAAGCACUACAUCUUGAAACUAGAAGGAUUUCAUAAAGUCGGAAACAGGGAAAACACUGUACCAUAUAAUUUUUUUAUUGUUAUUUCCCUAACACAUUUUUUUUCCCACUGUACAGCAUGGGGACCCAGUUACACAUACAUGAA